UAGGGAAUCUUCGGCAAUGGGGGCAACCCUGACCGAGCAACGCCGCGUGAGUGAAGAAGGUCUUCGGAUCGUAAAACUCUGUUGUUAGAGAAGAACGUGUGUGAGAGUGGAAAGUUCACACAGUGACGGUAACUUACCAGAAAGGGACGGCUAACUACGUGCCAG
rnacentral:rRNA from 1 species